rnacentral:lncRNA from 1 species
UUGAGUCUAAAGAUUAUGGUUUUAUCUUCUGACUAUUUCCUUAGGGUGAGUGAUCUCUCCCAGAAGACUGGUGACAGGCCCUCCUCACCAGUUCCACAGAUGCCUCUAGAACUGGAUGAAGCGGGCACUAGACUCUCCUUUGCUGAUGACCAGGCUGUCCUGGAUAUACUUACCUGGAGGAUGACGAAAGUCCCUAUAGCAGGUCAGAGCACUAGACUUCCUUUCUUCCUUUUAUUUUCCUUCACAAGGGUACUUGAUGAGAACUUUUUAUAUGGAAGAAGACCUCAAAAUAGACUAACUAAAAGCAUUGGUUGUGAUAGUCUGUCCGAG